rnacentral:pre_miRNA from 1 species
UCUGAUCAGUUGUGUAGUGUGGCGUUUUACUGACUUGCUACGAUACCAACUGGCCAGAGG